UAUCAAAACAUAAAAGUGAUUCAUCUGCAAUUAGAAUUUUGACGUUCGAGAAAAUUUCAGAAUUGUGUAUUCUUAUAAGUGUAAUUAUAUUAAAAAGCUAUAUAUAUAUAUAGAUAUUUUCCAAUAAUGUCUGUAAAUACAGCACACGCCAAUAAUGGUGUGUUGAUACACGCCGGAGAGUAUAUUUUACUGCAUAGUGAUGGCGUUACUAUGGAUUUCUCCGGUCAGGACAAUCCGGUGUUUAAGGGCUCAAAGCAAGGACGUAUUUAUCUGACGUCACAUCGCCUGAUUUUUAACAAUAAAAAACCGGCGGAUCAGCUGCAAUCGUUUAGCGCACCCUUCAUCGCGCUGUCUGAUGUUGAAUUGGAGCAACCAGUCUUCGGUGCCAACUAUAUUAAGGCCAAGGUACGUGCGCAACCAAAUGGCAACUUCAUUGGAGAGGUAAAAUUCAAGUUGCACUUCAAAUCUGGUGGCGCCAUUGAGUAUGGACAAGCUUUGUUACGCGCUGCUAGCACAGCUCAAAGUAAUUACCAUCGUGGUGGCGCUCCCAACGAUGAUCCACCACCAUACACACCAUCAGGUGCUUGGCAUGAGGCGCCACCACCAGCCUAUCAGCCACCACCAGGCUACUAUGGUUGGUUGCCUACACACGAGGCAUUCAGCGGCCCAGCAAACGGCACGGUGUUCGUAAGCGAUAAUCCACCACCAUAUCCUGGCAUUGGCGGACCACCAGCUUAUGCGCCGCAACCAUAUGCCCAACCUGGCUUUAAUCCGCAACAGCCCUAUGGUGGCUAUAAUCCACAACAACCACAAACUGGUUACAAUCCACAACCUGGCUAUAACCCACAACAGCCACAACCUGGUUAUAAUCCACAACAGCCACAAGGUGCUUGCAAUCCACAGCAACAAUACGGCAACAAUGAUACAGCCUGGAACGGCUUUUCAGCACCACCAACCGAUCAACCACAACAACAACCAGCACCUGGCAACCAACCACCGCCUUAUGCAGCUGGUGGUUACGGCCAACCAGGCGGUUAUCCCUCGGCUGCUCCCGGUGGCUACAAUCCAGCUUAUAACCCAGGUUACAAUCCUGGUUAUCAAGCAGGUGGCUAUCCCCAACCGGGUGGCUAUCCACCACCAGGCGGUGCACCAGGUGGCGCUGCGGCCGGCGCAAUGGGCUUUGGCAUGCCGCCAGCAAUGUUUUAAAAAAAGUGUCGCACAAGCAUGCAACAGCCUAAACUACAAAUAUUUAACGUCGCAAAAAACCAUAGGUCCAAAAACAAAAACCCAUACCAGAUUCUAAGGAAGCGGAGGCAAUGGCCAGCGCCCAAAAUACAACAAACAACCAAUAUUCCAAUAACGCUGCACCCAGUGAUUUGCCACCAGCAUAUGAUGCUCUACCACCCAACUAUGACAGCGCCAAUAAGAAGAAUCAGUAACCAGUACAAUAACAACAUCCAUAAACCUGAAGAUGCGUUUGUUUACAAUUUUUCACAUAACGGCUAAUCUAUAGAACGAGCACACAAAACACGUCACAACUUUUGAAAUGUAGAUAUGGUUUAAUUAGUAAAAAUUGUUAUAAUAUGCGGUUAACAAGCUGGCUGCAAGGCUUUGAUUCAUUGUAUGUGAAAUUUAUGUGCAUAUUUUAUUCAUUCCGCUCAACUUGCGCGUAAAAUAAUUACAUAUACACCCUCUAUACAUACGUAUACUUAUAUAAAAUAUGCCUUCUUUAUAUGUUUCCAAUCUAAACGUUAUAUAAAUCUAUUAAAACUAUAUACCUGCAUGCUUAUACCCACAAAAUAUAUAUACACAUAUUACGAAAGUAGCUGCAAUAACAAAUUAGUGCACCCAUUAAAUAUAAUCAAAGCAUUUUUUUGUAAAAAAAAAAAUAUUAAAUGCCAAUAAUUAAUUUUUAUAUAAUCGUUGAAGUAUUUUCAAAAUUUCUAAUGCAGUAUUUCCUUGUAAGCAAUUGGCUAUCGUAAAAAUUGUUUUGUAAAAUCUUUUGUAUUAUGCAAAUUGUGUACAUUUUGUUACAGUUAAACUGGUACACAAAUUUGUUUUUUUUUGAUUAUUGUAUUUAUAUAUUAUCAAUCUAAUUGAAAUAAAUAAAGUAAGCCUAAGCUGAA